rnacentral:rRNA from 1 species
GACGAACGCUGGCGGCGUGCUUAACACAUGCAAGUCGAACGGAAAGGCCCUGCUUUUGUGGGGUGCUCGAGUGGCGAACGGGUGAGUAACACGUGAGUAAGCUGCCCUUGACGUUGGGAUAACUUCAUGAAACUGGGGCUAAUACCGGAUAGGAGCUCCUGCUGCAUGGGGGGGGUUGGAAAGUUUCGGCGGUUGGGGAUGGACUCGCGGCUUAUCAGCUUGUUGGUGGGGUAGUGGCUUACCAAGGCUUUGACGGGUAGCGGGCCUGAGAGGGUGACCGGACAAAUUGGGACUGAGCUACGGCCCAGCCUCCUACGGGAGGCAGCAGUGGGGAAUAUUGCACAAUGGGAGGAAGCAUGAUGCAGCACCGCCGCGCGCGGGAUGACGGCAUUCGGGUUGUAAACCGAUUUCGCCUGUGCCGAAGCGUGAGUGACGGUAAUGGGUAAAGAAGCACCGGCUAACUACGUG